rnacentral:rRNA from 1 species
GACGAACGCUGGCGGCGUGCUUAACACAUGCAAGUCGAACGGAAAGGCCCUGCUUUUGUGGGGUGCUCGAGUGGCGAACGGGUGAGUAACACGUGAGUAACCUGCCCUUGACUUUGGGAUAACUUCAGGAAACUGGGGCUAAUACCGGAUAGGAGCUCCUGCUGCAUGGUGGGGGUUGGAAAGUUUCGGCGGUUGGGGAUGGACUCGCGGCUUAUCAGCUUGUUGGUGGGGUAGUGGCUUACCAAGGCUUUGACGGGUAGCCGGCCUGAGAGGGUGACCGGCCAAAUUGGGACUGAGAUACGGCCCAGACUCCAACGGGAGGCAGCAGUGGGGAAUAUUGCACAAUGGGCGGAAGCCUGAUGCAGCAACGCCGCGUGCGGGAUGACGGCCUUCGGGUUGUAAACCGCUUUCGCCUGUGACGAAGCGUGAGUGACGGUAAUGGGUAAAGAAGCACCGGCUAACUACGUG